AUGCACCUCUGCGGGUCAGAUGCUGCGCUGGGGGACUCGGUCCAGUCCAGGGAACCCCACCUCUCUGGAAGAGAAGGAGACGCUGUGACCCUCACUUGUUCUUAUGAUACCAGCUCUACCGGCUACGUGUAUCUCUUCUGGUACCGUCAGUUUCCCAACCAAGCCCCGCAGUACAUUCUCUUCAGAGGAGUGAAGCAAGCCAGAGAUGAGAGUAACACUGCAGAUUUCGCACAGAAGAGAUUUUCUUCUCAGGCUGAUGACAGCUCCACAAUUCUGAGCAUCAAAGCCCUGGAGCUGGCGGACACAGCGGUGUAUCUCUGCGCUCUGAGUGUGACACAGUGA